CAACUGAAAAAAGAUCAAUUUUUAUGCCCACACCUACCUAGCUCAUCAGAUUCACAGAAGAAGAGAAUGAGGGUAGUGUAGAAAAAAGAGGCUCUAAAAGAUGGCAGAAUAAAGAAAGAGAAGAGAGAUAACCAACAAGAUCGCUGGAGACUCUUUAAGUAUUUUGCUCUCUAAGCCCUGAAUUUCCAGUGGUAACUAAGGAGGAAUCUGCUCCUCAAGGGACCACCCGUCUCUCACAAAGUGGAAAUCAGAUGCAAAAUUUCCCAUUGGCUUAUUUCUUCCUGAGAUCCAUUCAAGAGAAGAAGAGGCAAAUCAUUCUCUACAUGUGUUAUAUCGCUGACUCUGAUGAAGUUGUACUCUGAGAUUCAAGCUGAAAUUAGAUGAGCUUCAGCCUGAAACCACUUCAUAGCAGGUAUUGGAGACAAAUGUUUGUCACCUGCUAAAACUCAGGUAAGAAUUACAUUAUUCAUAAACAUUCUUUUCAGCUGGGCAAAGGGGAUGGAUUGACGGGUACUACCCGUGA
rnacentral:lncRNA from 1 species